GCAACGCCAUGGACAGCUGGGGACAAAAGUUGCUGUUUCCGAGGAGAAGACAUUUGUUUGCUCCUUUUUUGAAUCUCAUAUCCAGUGUUUUUCUUCACAGGUUUUGCACAGUAGGGACCAGGAAGCCCUCGGGACACUGCCGAGAAAGGACUGCUCGAGGGAAGACCUGUGGGGAUCAUGGGAUCUAUUCCAGAGGAAACUAACCAACAAUGAACAACUUCUACUAAAACUACCCCUGGAUGUGAUGGUUGCAUGCAUCAUUCCUUUAAUUGAGCAGAGUUAACUGGAUCAAAUUAUUUAUGGGAGAGAGAGGGAAAGCUAUACAGAAUUACAGUAAUUUUAUAUUUCCACCAAUAUACUCUUUGUAAGUGAAUCACUCCAUAAAUAUUUUCUGUUGCACUGAAUGCAGCAACAGUAACAAAAUAGUUUCUUAAGGUAUUUGUUUUUGCAUACUCUGGCCUUGUAAUUAUUUAAAUAGCAGCCAAGUUUAGUGAUGUUUUUGAUUCUGUCAAGAAAAAAAAAUAAGUCCUCUACUCAGAAGUGAUGACCAGAAACAGAAUCUGACAUUUAUUUUUUGAAAUUAAAUAAAUAAAUGGAAAGUUGCACUUAUCAACUCUUUGUUAAAACUGUACCAUAUCUAAUCACUGCAUAAAAGUUCAGAUGUGUAGAAUACCGUCAUUUUUUUCAGUCUCUAAAAACUAUUUUGCUCUCCAUAAACUUUCUAUUUGCUAUUUUCUCAGAAUUUUACAAUUAAAGGGAAAUAACAAACUACUUGUUUUCCUUAAAAUUCUUUGAAAAAAUCCCUAAGUACACAUUCCUUGGACAAUAAGGUUUUGUUUUGUUUUUUAAAAUUCUAUUUAUUGGAAUUUUGACUAUCUGAAUAUUUUAUUUUUUAAAGAGCAGGGGAAUUUGUUAAAUAUCUCUACGGAAGUGAACUGAUCAUUUAUAUUAAAAUAACCAAUAGAAUUAUUCUCAAGUCACCAGAAUUAAAUUUUCUAACUGUAUAUUUAACACCAUUAAUUCUUUCUUAUAUGAAUUUUAAGGAAAUUUUCCAAAGUGUCUGGUUUUACUUUUUACAUACGAAAUGAAGUUUCCUUUUCUGUGUAUAAGGUAUUAUUUUGUAACUGCACUGCACUAACAAUGUCCAAUACACAUUGUGAGCAUCACUGUGGGUAACAACUUUUUAGUUUAUACCCUUUUGAUUCAUGGCACAGCCCUGUAGUUAAUUAAGAGGAGGAAAACUUAAGCUCACAACUGCUUUUUAUUUGGUUUUCACAUCCAUACUUUAAAACUUUGCAUUAAAAAAAAUAUGAGAAAUUUAAAUAAGUUCCUGUUGCUUAAUAAAAUAUUAAUAAAAAUACAUCCCCUUGUCAAAAUCCCACUAACAAAGCAUCAGAUACCAAAGUCCGUGUGUUGCAUUGUCGAAUACAUUAGGCUCAUUAAUUAUUUUGAAAAUGGCUGCCAUUUCCAUGUAAAUGACAAGUUUCUUUUUCAUGGGCAAGAUUAUGGUACUUACCUAUUACAAGAAGCAUGUAUAAAUAGUCUUUAUCUUUAACUUCAGUUUUAAAAUAUGCAGAGUUUUGUGAAGAGGAAAAACAUCUGGUUCAAUUACUCUGAACUCUGACUGCAUGUGGGCCAGUAGUAAUAUGAACUGGAUUUAAGAAUAAACCUUGUGUUUAGUCUUUUUUGUUGUUGUUUUACCCUUAAAAUUUCAAUGUGAGUUUUCUGCUCUGUCAAUUACCCAUGUUAGCACAUUUGCAAUGAAUGUAUAAGUGCACUUUCUGAAUAAAGUCAAAAGUCUAACUUGUUUUUAGUUCCAUAAUGUUUUAAUGUUUAAUUCUAUUGUGUGUUUUUCUCCCUUUCCCCUGACCCUCCAAAAAUCACCAAAUCUGGAAAACAGACUGAUUGUAUCUGCCCAUGAGCAAAGGAAACCUGAAGGAACCAAGGGCCUGGCUGGACGGAGUUGUCAUGUGUCUGCCUGUCUACACUUGCUGUGCAGAACAUCCGCUCACCUGUACAGCAGGCACAGACAGGCAGUCACAUGACAACCCAGCCUGAAUGACAACCAGCCAUUGAAAGAAAGCAGCCCUCACACCAUAGCAUCUACACCAAGAGCUACAACCAAAAUGAGGGGCGCGGGGGCCUGGGGUUUUAAUUUGUUGGUUUCUUAACUCUUAUGUAUUAUUAUUAUUUUUGAUUCAAA